GAUGAACGCUGGCGGCGUGCCUAAUACAUGCAAGUCGAGCGAACAGACGAGGAGCUUGCUCCUCUGACGUUAGCGGCGGACGGGUGAGUAAAACGUGGAUAACCUACCUAUAAGACUGGGAUAACUUCGGGAAACCGGAGCUAAUACCGGAUAAUAUAUUGAACCGCAUGGUUCAAUAGUGAAAGACGGUUUUGCUGUCACUUAUAGAUGGAUCCGCGCCGCAUUAGCUAGUUGGUAAGGUAAAGGCUUACCAAGGCAACGAUGCGUAGCCGACCUGAGAGGGUGAUCGGCCACACUGGAACUGAGACACGGUCCAGACUCCUACGGGAGGCAGCAGUAGGGAAUCUUCCGCAAUGGGCGAAAGCCUGACGGAGCAACGCCGCGUGAGUGAUGAAGGUCUUCGGAUCGUAAAACUCUGUUAUUAGGGAAGAACAAAUGUGUAAGUAACUAUGCACGUCUUGACGGUACCUAAUCAGAAAGCCACGGCUAACUACGUG
rnacentral:rRNA from 1 species